rnacentral:siRNA from 1 species
GCUUAAGCGCGCGACCUAUACCC